GAACAUCAGGGGAUGCUAGUUUUUAAUCUAAACAAAAGCCUCUAGUGAUCAAUCUUACUUGGCAAUCUGUCAUCUUUGUUUCUUCAUUAUCAAAUAUAGCUGCCAUAUUGGUGAGAAUGUGGUCAAGACAAUGAGAUCUUAAAUCUACUGGAGUUGGACAUCAGAUAUAGGGUGAUAAGUACUGCAGACUCUCACACCAGUUGGGUCAGAUGCCUUUCCAUCCUCUACAGCCCAAAGCUAGAGGCUGUCUGGGGCCAUGUCUAAGUGUGUUCCAGCUCUCUAGACUGCCCACAAGAAUGCCACUGGCUCAGAAAAAGGGAGGGGCUGAUGGUGGUAACUGAAUCCAUUUUGAUGGUGAUCUACAGGAGACUGAUGUCAUUCAUUGGAAACUUCAACCAGCUUGGCCAUGGGCGGGUUGGCUUUUGAGACUUUUUUUGGUGUGUAAGAAACCUACCCAGAGAGCCUAGGUCAAGCAUGUCAAACUCAUGGCCUACAGCCCGCAUGCAGCCCACAAUGAAUAUUUUUGUG